rnacentral:misc_RNA from 1 species
AAUAACAAGUCUUGUACUUCC